UACGUAGGGGGCAAGCGUUGUCCGGAAUCAUUGGGCGUAAAGAGCGUGUAGGCGGCUUGGUAAGUCCGCUGUGAAAGUCCAGGGCUCAACCCUGGAAAGCCGGUGGAAACUGUCAAGCUUGAGUCCGGAAGAGGCGAGUGGAAUUCCUGGUGUAGCGGUGAAAUGCGCAGAUAUCAGGAGGAACACCAAUGGCGAAGGCAGCUCGCUGGGACGGUACUGACGCUGAGGCGCGAAAGCCAGGGGAGCGAACGGG
rnacentral:rRNA from 1 species